AAGCGUUUUUCAGGAGAGAGUCUUUAGCCUAAAGUUAGUGAUACUCAUAUUAAUGAGCUGACAGCCGCUAUAUGACCACCGAAGGCGCAUCCACCCUGCUAAUCGCUCAGGUAAAAGGACUGAAAAACACAU
rnacentral:ncRNA from 2 species